rnacentral:rRNA from 1 species
CCCGUCAGAUGGGAUAACUCCGGGAACCGGGGCUAAUACCGAAUAACAUUGAAAACCUCAUGGUUUCCUUUUAAAAGGCGGCUUCGGCUGUCACUCCGGAUGGGCCCGCGGCGCAUUAGCUAGUUGGUGAGGUAACGGCUCACCAAGGCGACGAUGCGUAGCCGACCUGAGAGGGUGAUCGGCCACACUGGGAUGAGACACGGCCCAGACUCCUACGGGAGGCAAGCGAGUUAGGGAAUCUUCCGCAAAUGGACGAAAGUUCUGACGGAAGCAAACGCCGCG